rnacentral:misc_RNA from 1 species
CCAAUAGCGUAUAUUAAAGUUGUUGCAGUUAAAAAGCUCGUAGUUGAAUUUCGGGAUCGAAUUGUUGGUCGUGCUUCGGUACGCACUGGCAUUAUCGGUUUCUACCUUCUGAAGAACCGCGAUGUCAUUAAUUUGGUGUCGUGGGGAAUCAGGACUGUUACUUUGAAAAAAUUAGAGUGUUUAAAGCAGGCUUACGCUUGAAUACAUUAGCAUGGAAUAAUGAAAUAGGACGUUUGAUUCUAUUUUGUUGGUUUCUAGGAUCGACGUAAUGAUUAAUAGGGAUAGUUGGGGGCAUUAGUAUUCAAUUGUCAGAGGUGAAAUUCUUGGAUUUAUUGAAGACUAACUACUGCGAAAGCAUUUGCCAAGGAUGUUUUCAUUAAUCAAGAACGAAAGUUAGGGGAUCGAAGACGAUCAGAUACCGUCGUAGUCUUAACCAUAAACUAUGCCGACUAGGGAUCGGAUGAUGUUAAUUUUAUAAUGACUCAUUCGGCGCCUUACGGGAACCCAAACACUUUGGUUUC